rnacentral:rRNA from 1 species
AACCAGCACCUCAAGUGGUCAGGAGGAUUAUUGGGCCUAAAGCAUCCGUAGCCGGCUCUGUAAGUUUUCGGUUAAAUCCAUGUGCUCAACGCAUGGGCUGCCGAAAAUACUGCAUAGCUAGGGAGUGGGAGAGGUAGACGGUACUCGGUAGGAAGGGGUAAAAUCCUUUGAUCUAUCGAUGACCACCUGUGGCGAAGGCGGUCUACCAGAACACGUUCGACGGUGAGGGAUGAAAGCUGGGGGAGCAAACCGGAUUAGAUACCCGGGUAGUCCCAGCUGUAAACGAUGCAGACUCGAUGAUGCAUUGGCAUAUAGCCAGUGCAGUGUCGCAGGGAAGCCGUUAAGUCUGCCGCCUGGGAAGUACGUACGCAAGUAUGAAACUUAA